CAUUAACGUUAAUUAAAAUUAAUCAAUUGCAUUCACUUAAAAAUUUAAUUAAAAAUUUUUUUAUCAAUUUAAGAAGAUUAUUAUCUUCAAAAUCUUUGCAACGAUACUCGCUAAGCGCAGUAAUUUAAGUGGACUGACAAGAAAGAGACUUAUUCUUGUUUCAGUCUUAUUGUAACUGGACUGACGAUCCAAAUACCCAGUAUACCCAGCGCAGACCAAGAAAAGGCGAAAGUUAAAUGCAUUGACUCAAUUGUCCGACGUUUACCACCACGGGCACGUGGUUAAAUGCAUAAAUAUGUGACAGCCAAUGAACUCACACACUCAAUUUUUGCACGAAUAAUCUCAAUUGACUUACAAUGUGUAAUAUAUAUACUUAUAUACCUAUGUACAUCUCUAACUGCUAAUUGGAUAUUAUCUAAUAAACUCUACUCUCAAUGCUACUCUGGAUGCUGACAAAAAAACAUGUGUUAACCUCACUUAAUUAAAUAAAUGUUUACUCACUUUAUUUAGACACUUUAUCGAGAUUGUUUAUUUAUUUCUUCAGAGCAUUACAGAGAGUACAAGGAACAAGGAAAAGGAGAACUUCCCCCACUUUCGUGUCGAGAAAUGGGAAG